AUGCACGUAUUCGAUCCGUUAAUCAUCCUCCAAGAUUUGACAAUUUCGGGUGAAUCGGUGAUUGUUAUUGCAAUCAUUUAGUAUCUAGAGAUUUCCUACAGGUAUUCGGGAGCACUUAGCAAGCACUGUAAGGC